ACCACUCCUGACGCCCAAACCCAUCACCGAUCGCUUCACCGUUGCGGCGACGGCGAGCACCAUCGCCAGCUUUCCAGUUGCCCCCCAACGCAACGCAGCCGCAUCCAGUAUUGAUGGUCUCUACACUGACUAAGCCAAGAGAAACUCGUGCCAGAUGCGCUCACCAUGGGCAAGGUCGGUGACGCUGAGCAGGCCGUCCCCAGACCUGCGCCGCGAACAAGCAGCCGUCGUCGGUGUGGCGCUGCCGUCGGCAAGGUGGUGAACGCGAAGUGCGUAUCAGUGCUGCUCCUGGCCGUCGGCGGCUUCAUCUCGGCCCUCUUCCUGCUGCUUCAUCUCCGGGCAUCAGGAGCCAUCCCUGAUGACCCUGACAUUCUCACCGCAGAAAUCCAGGCAGGCUUCAUUUUGUCGAUGCCACACUCGCAGCUAGCUUCACAAGCCGGAACGCUCGAGAAAGAGAUAUAUAAACAAAUAGGAGUGCCCAAUAGUAUGGUUUCAGUUUCUAUGCGUCCAUACACAUAUACGAAUACCACUUAUGUGACAUUUGGUGUUCUUCCAGACCCAAGAAAUACCUCCUUAGGCCCAGAAUCCAUGAGCACUUUGAGAAAGUCUUUGAUACAGCUUACACUUCAGCAGCUGAAUUUAUCUUUGACGCCAUCUAUUUUUGGAGACCCGUUUUGCUUAGAGAUCCUGGGGUUCCCAGGAGGGAUCACCGUGUUGCUUCCACACAUUGAUCUCCAUCAAGACUCAAUACAGUCUAUCUUCAACAUCACGUUUGACUCGACAAUUCAUCAAAUAAAGGAAUAUCUUGAGGAGAUGAAGAUCGAGCUUGGAUGUACAUUGGAGCAGCCACCGGACGAGGAAUUAUUUGUCAAAUUAACAAAUACAAAUGGCUCCACGGUCGCAGCACCAGUUACAGUCCAAGUUUAUAUUGCCCCAAUUGAUCGCAGCAUUUAUCUACAACUUUACAGGCUGAAACAGCUAGCCCAAAUCAUCACAGAAUGGAAUUCAAGGAACCUUGGCCUAAAUCCCUCAAUUUUUGGCAGAAUUAGGGAUUUGAAGCUGUCUCCACUCCUACAAGCUUUCAUUCCAUCGUGUGCUCCUAGCUUGCCUCCAGUGCCAACACCAUCCCUGUCCUGGCCUCCAAUAUCAGAGCACCCCAAAGCCAAUCCUUACGGGGGGGUUUCAUGCCCUGCUUUGGUGAAAAAACUAAAUGCAACCAUUCCACAUCGCAAGUUAAUGCGUGUAUCUUCCAUGGUGAUUUCUCCGCAAUUACCAACGCAGUUCCGUAGGAAGUACAUAUCUGGGGCAAGAAGUGGUGGCACCGACAUUGAUUGAGGCAGCACCCCAACGGAAAUAAAGUAAGCUGCUUUUGGUUUGAUCAAGACAGUCAUCAAAGUUAUUCAAUCGUUGUUAUAAGAUUGAUCUGCAUCUUGCUAAUGACCAGUGCAUCUUCUCUUAUCUAAUCAUUGUUGGAAGUGUGGCGCUUGAGCAUAUUGGUCACUGUCCUGAAUUUGUUUCUGCAUUAAAUGAUCUUUAGUUCGUACUACAGAGUGAUCCUUUGAUGCAACUUUCUGGUCACGCCAAGGUUGGCAUGAAGUGGUUGUGCCUAAGCUAACGUUGUAAGAAACCUCAGCCAAGUGUACAUAAAAAAUGGGAAGUUAUUUUCCACAAAGCUGGAUAACUCCCAAGCUCCACGUAUAAUAGCAGGGUGACAGCUAUAAGGGCAUGUGCAGUGAUACAGACGGCUGUUGUCUAUAAUAUGAUUCUAUGUCACAUAUACAUAAUAUAAUAGACAAGCUAUUGUGUGAGUUGACUGUAAGUA